UGGGGAAUAUUGGACAAUGGGCGAAAGCCUGAUCCAGCCAUGCCGCGUGUGUGAAGAAGGCCUUUUGGUUGUAAAGCACUUUAAGUGGGGAGGAAAAGCUUAUGGUUAAUACCCAUAAGCCCUGACGUUACCCACAGAAUAAGCACCGGCUAACUCUGUGCCAGCAGCCGCGGUAAUACAGAGGGUGCAAGCGUUAAUCGGAAUUACUGGGCGUAAAGCGCGCGUAGGUGGUUAUUUAAGUCAGAUGUGAAAGCCCCGGGCUUAACCUGGGAACUGCAUCUGAUACUGGAUAACUAGAGUAGGUGAGAGGGGAGUAGAAUUCCAGGUGUAGCGGUGAAAUGCGUAGAGAUCUGGAGGAAUACCGAUGGCGAAGGCAGCUCCCUGGCAUCAUACUGACACUGAGGUGCGAAAGCGUGGGUAGCAAACAGGAUUAGAUACCCUGGUAGUCCACGCCGUAAACGAUGUCUACCAGUCGUUGGGUCUUUUAAAGACUUAGGUGACGCAGUUAACGCAAUAAGUAGACCGCCUGGGGGAGUACGGCCGCAAGGUUA
rnacentral:rRNA from 1 species